UUGGUAACAAGUCACGAGAUUCGUCGUUUACACAACGUUAUUUACACGAAAUCCAAUUCCAAUUCUUCCAUUUCUCUAGAAACUAAGACCGUGCCGAUGAAGUUCAUUGGAGAAAUUCGUCUCCCGCGUUCAUCAAAAAAAAAGAAAAGAAAAGAGACGUUUGCUUAUCUUCCCGGGCUACUACCUCCACCUAUAACUUUGUUUUGUGAAUGCGUACGGAAAGAGAAAGGGCCAAGCCAAUAGGAACGGGUCACGUGACUCGAGGAUCCGAAUCGACGUGCCAACUUAAAGGACCCCAUACACCAAAGGGGAGGGGGAGGAAGGAGGAAGAAGAGGUGGGGGACUAUACUCGCUGCGUUAGUUGCUGGGCUCGGCUCACAGAGCGACUGCUCGUCUCCGAGUCAACACGUUUCGUGCCGAGCUCCCCCAUUUUUUCCCGCAGCUGUGUGUAAAACUCGCCACUACCCCCCAGCAGCAGACCGACAGACAAAGACAACAUUGCCAUUCUAAGCCACACGGGCUCUGCUGUUAAAAGACUUUCUUUGUUUGUGUGUGGUGGUGGCCCAUCUUCUUCUUUCACCAGUGCUGCAGCUCAACUCGAUCAAAGUUCUUCCAGCCAAAAAGACCCAAAACAAAUAUCAGACAACGGAAUUUCUUUUUUUCUUUCUUCUGGACAGUGAACGAACGACGCUGGCUGGUUCUAUCCCGAAAAACCAAUUUCUGCACAAUAAGUUGGCGGAUGUUGGAAUGCGGUUGGGUGAAACGAGGAAUUUCUUGAUCAGCGACCACCACCACCGGGAUCGAUAACAAAACGCGCAAUGGACGUCCAGCGCAAUGCUAAAAAAUUCAAAUUGCAAGAGGAUCAUCAGCAGCAUCGACAUCAGCAUUUGCCGGACAAGCAGAUCAAACCGCCAUCGGAGUGAUGGAUGAGGACAAGGAACAAUGCUGCCAGCAGCAGCAAGCCGGACAACAACUGCUGUCGAUGUCCACAUGAUCGAUUUCGCCCACACAACUUUUUAAUUUAAUAAAUUAAUUAAACCACCAAAGGAGAGAAAA